UGAGAGGUCCAGCCUGCCCAGUGACAAAGUUCAACGGCCGCGGUACCCUAACCGUGCGAAGGUAGCAUAAUCACUUGUUCUUUAAAUAAGGACUAGUAUCAACGGCACCACGAGGGCCAUACUGUCUCCUUUCUCCAAUCAGUGAAACUGAUCUCCCCGUGAAGAAGCGGGGAUUAACAUAUAAGACGAGAAGACCCCAUGGAGCUUUAAACUCAUCAUACACCUCUAUUUAUCUAUAUCAUUAUACCCUAAAAGAUCUGUAUGCUGGUUUUAGGUUGGGGGGACCGCGGAGUAAAAACUAACCUCCACGACAAAUGGGCUAUGCCCUUAUCCGAGAACUACAAUUCUAAGAAUCAAUAAACUGAUGUUUAAUGACCCGAACAAUCGAUCAACGAACCAAGUUACCCUGGGGAUAACAGCGCAAUCUACUUCAAGAGCCCAUAUCGACAAGUAGGUUUACGACCUCGAUGUUGGAUCAGGGUAUCCCAGUGGUGCAGCCGCUACUAAAGGUUCGUUUGUUCA
rnacentral:rRNA from 1 species